rfam:Macrostomum lignano uti_cns_0003575, whole genome shotgun sequence.
AAAACGGCCCUUUUCAGGGCCACCAAACUUGUUGAUGUUGCAAGUCU